AGCGUGUACCAUCUACCUCUGUCAAAGAAAGCACAAUCAAAAACAACAACUGCGACGCUCCAUCGGUUCAUUCUGCUGAUGACUCAAGUGAGAAUGACGAUGACGACGGGGACGAGAGCAACAACGACGACGACGGUAACAGCAACAGCGGUGAUAUACAUGCGAGUGAAACAAUCGAAUCUACCGGGAAGAGACGGUUGUCAACCGAGACAAAUAGUGGCACAACAGAAGACAAUUGUGCUUAUUCCACGACUGGAGUGAGAGGAGUCGAGAAUAGUCACUUCGCUCUCGAAUGAACUUUUGAUUGCGAUUCCGAGAGUCGACUCGAAUGAGGUGAGAAGUUCAUUUCUAUGCGAGCGACAAAGUGAAUCUCACGUUUAGAUGUGUUCAUCAGCAGAAACGUCAAUCAUGAUAAGCUGCAUCACUUGCGAUUAGGGCGAAAUUAAAUUUGUAAACAUUGAGCGUUUAAGUCUGGUUUCUUGUAAACCAUUCAUCUUUUGCAGAGAUUUAUCGAUGUGUAAUUUAAUACAUAUCGAUUCAAAUCUAAUUGCAACAUGUUUUCGAAAUCAGUUUCAAAUAAGCUCAAAUUGUUGUUUUGUUGUGGGUGAAGAUGAAACCUAAUUCGCCCUAAUCGCAUUUUGUCCCUUGUAUACAAUCAAACUUUGAAACCACAACAAAGUGAAACAAAAUUGUUCUCGGAUUUGCUUUGUGGAUUUGAGGAACAAACCAAUCGCAUUGGCGCGCCGUACUUAUGCAAGCUGAAACAACAGAAUGAGCCACCGGGAAGUGAUGAUACCACCGAACUGUCCUCUGGAUCUGCCUCCGGGUAGGAACUCCUACGCUGCCCAUAACUGCAUCUGCAUAUUCGUAACAUUCGACAAAAGUAGGC